CAGGCUGCCCAACAGCCGCUAAGCAUGUAGUUCCUCUGGGGUUUGAACCCAAGACCUUUCAUGUGUAAGGCAUGAUAACUGUGACACUAUGGGACCACGGUGUGGAGCAGUGGUUGAGGAGAGGCUGUGAUAGGUCUCAGCAGAGUUCGGGAAGUUCAGGGAUUCUUCACGGCCUUAGCAGGAUUUGAACCAGCCAUCCUCCCAGAGCGACCUGCCCUGUAAAACCUUUAAAACCUUUCAACUUUGAUUUCACACUUUUUCAAAUUUGUUUUUCCUUGUGUUUCUGCUUUUUCACCAGGUUUUUUAAAGAACCUAAAGUUUUCCCCAAUGUUGGAUCAUCGAUGGAACCAACGUUUUAACGUAAAGACAAGAGAAUCAUCCUUUCUCCUCUCUGUGGUCUGGAGCCGACAACAGCCUGGUCAGGUGUGAGGGCAACGAGUCCAAGACUGCAUGACCCAGUUCAGCAAAUGGAGCAAAACCCAUUACUGCACAUUUGCAUCUGUGCAAACCUGGAAACAUGUCAUGUGAUGUCACUUCCUCCCACAACCCCACAUGUGCAACAACAAACAUUUGAUGUGGAAAGGACAACACCAGGUUCUACUCCUGUGACUGGACUCUCCUGGAAUAACCGCUGGAUGAAGAUGGUUUGAUGUUGGCACUCCAGGUCACAGAGGUCUGUUCUGUUUUGGCAGCUGUGGCUCAGUGACUUCAUCUGUGUCCACCCAGCGUCGUAUGAACAGAGUGUCAUCAGUGGCCCCCAGAGACAGUCAGUGGACCAUUAGCUGGUGCAGGCCUAGACUGCAGGUGGCACUGCCAAAGACAGUGAGCAAUUUAACAUUAAACUAGCAUAUUGUUACCUAUUUUCAAUUAAUGGAUCAUCAUAAAGAAAAGACUACUGAAGAAAAGGAUCAGGAAGAUCAUAAGUUUGAAUCCCGGUGGCAGCUGAUGGAAUGGUUGCUUCUGUGCUCCUGGAAGGUCAUGUCUGCGUGUGGACAGAACAACAGCUUCAUCACUGAGUCUUAAACUCUGCGGAAUAUCUGCAAGAAAGAGGAAGAGUGGGCUGCACGUCAAUGCACAUGGAGAACGCUAGGUGUUGGUGGCACCUGCCAUCACAGCCCAGCUGGGACUGAAAUCAGAACCGCAACCUCCGAUUGCAAGCCCGAUCCACCAACAACAGAUAAUUGGUCAACGCAGACUGUGUCCUGGAGUGGUGGAGCACCAACUGUUAUGUUGAGACAGUUUGUGGUCAGUUUUUUCUCUUUUACAUCAUGUUGUAUUUGAUGAUAAGUCCAUUUUUAAUGUACCAACGUUUGUACACAUGUUGGCGUAAAAACCUGUUGUAUUAGGAAUUUGUUUUCAUAUUAUACAUUUUUUGUUUGUUGUCACCUCAUGGUGUAGUCACCCAACAGGUAUUGUGCACAUACUGUAGAUCAUGUAAAUUUAGGAGCAUUUCUACAGAAUAUGUCAGACAUUACUGGCACUGUGCUUAAGCAGAACCAGAAUGAAAAAUAAAUGAAUCAUUAUCACACAACUGAUCAGUGUCUGUGCUUGGUGCACUUUUUAAAUCUCAAAAUAUGAUACAGGUUUCAGCAAAACUUACAAACAACUGUGUAUAAUUGGGGGCAUAAACCUGCAUUUAAUAAUAAUUUAAUAUUUUGUGUUUAAAGGUC